GCGCGAAAACUUUACAAUGCGGGCAACCGUGAUAAGGAAACCCCGAGUGCCAGCACAGGCUGGCUGUCCACCAGUGUAAAAAACUGGUGAAGAAAGGGCCGGGCAAGACCGGUGCCAGCCGCCGCGGUAAUACCGGCGGCUCGAGUGGUGGCCGCUUUUACUGGGCUUAAAGGGUCCGUAGCUGGAUUCACAAGUCCCUUGAGAAAUCUAUCGGCUUAACUGAUAGGCGUUCAGGGGAUACUGUGGUUCUAGGGACCGGGAGAGGUGAGAGGUACUGCCGGGGUAGGAGUGAAAUCCUGUAAUCCUUGGGGGACCACCUGUGGCGAAGGCGUCUCACCAGAACGGCUCCGACAGUGAGGGACGAAAGCUGGGGGAGCAAACCGGAUUAGAUACCCGGGUAGUCCCAGCCGUAAACGAUGUGCGUUAGGUGUAUCGGUGACCACGAGUCACCGAGGUGCCGAAGAGAAAUCGUGAAACGUACCGCCUGGGAAGUACGGUCGCAAGGCUGAAACUUAAAGGAAUUGGCGGGGGAGCACCGACAACAGGUGGAGCCGUGUAC
rnacentral:rRNA from 1 species